CACAGGUUUGGUCCCAGCCUUCCUAUUGACCCUUAAUAGACUUACACAUGCAAGCAUCCACACCCCAGUGAAAAUGCCCUCCAAGUUAACUAAGACUAAGAGGAGCUGGUAUCAAGCACACAUCCGUAGCUCACGACACCUUGCAUAGCCACACCCCCACGGGAGACAGCAGUGAUAAAAAUUAAGCCAUAAACGAAAGUUUGACUAAGCCAUAUUGAUCAGGGUUGGUAAAUUUCGUGCCAGCCGCCGCGGUCAUACGAUUAACCCAAGUUAAUAGGCAUACGGCGUAAAGCGUGUUAAAGCACUAUACCAAAUAAAGUUAAAUUCCAAUUAAGCUGUAAAAAGCCAUAAUUGCAACAAAAAUAAACAACGAAAGUAACUUACAGCCGCGAACACCGAUAACCCCUCACACAGGGUUAUAGGGGAUACGGGCGUAAGCGUGUUAAGCACUAUACCAAAUAAAGUUAAAUUCCAAUUAAGCUGUAAAAAGCCAUAAUUGCAACAAAAAUAAACAACGAAAGUAACUUUACAGCCGCUGAAACACGAUAGCUAGGACCCAAACUGGGAUUAGAUACCCCACUAUGCCUAGCCUUAAACACAAAUAGUUAUGUAAACAAAACUAUUCGCCAGAGUACUACCGGCAAUAGCUUAAAACUCAAAGGACUUGGCGGUGCUUUAUACCCUUCUAGAGGAGCCUGUUCUAUAAUCGAUAAACCCCGAUAAACCUCACCAUUCCUUGCUACUACAGUCUAUAUACCGCCAUCUUCAGCAAACCCUAAAAAGGUACAAAAGUAAGCACAAUCAUAAUACAUAAAAACGUUAGGUCAAGGUGUAACCUAUGGAACGGAAAGAAAUGGGCUACAUUUUCUAAUCUAAGAAAAUCCAACACGAAAGUUAUUAUGAAACUAAUAACCAAAGGAGGAUUUAGCAGUAAACUAAGAAUAGAGUGCUUAGUUGAAUUAGGCCAUGAAGCACGCACACACCGCCCGUCACCCUCCUCAAGUAGGUACAAUACACUCAAACUUAUUUACACGUAUUAAUCAUAUGAGAGGAGAUAAGUCGUAACAAGGUAAGCAUACUGGAAAGUGUGCUUGGAUAAAU
rnacentral:rRNA from 1 species